UACGUAGGGUGCAAGCGUUGUCCGGAAUUAUUGGGCGUAAAGAGCUUGUAGGCGGUUUGUCGCGUCUGCUGUGAAAUUUCGGGGCUCAACCCCGAACUUGCAGUGGGUACGGGCAGACUAGAGUGUGGUAGGGGAGACUGGAAUUCCUGGUGUAGCGGUGAAAUGCGCAGAUAUCAGGAGGAACACCGAUGGCGAAGGCAGGUCUCUGGGCCACUACUGACGCUGAGAAGCGAAAGCAUGGGGAACGAACAGG
rnacentral:rRNA from 1 species